CUCUGAGAAACACACCAAUACCUAGUGCAUAACUAAAUAGCCUUCUCCAGUUGUCCCUAAAUCUAUCGACGUGAGGAAGCAAAAUUACAAGGACACCACUUUCACCGGUCAAUGUGUGCCUUUCUAUUCGCGAUCUCGUAUGGUAUGCUGGUCGUGUGAGGAUUUUGUCGUGCCAGCUCCACACUGUCGUCGAACUUGGACACAUGCCGAUGCAAAUGCGUCAAUACUAUAGGAGCAAUGAAAAACCAGCAAUGUAUACCGUAGGUAAAGUUUAGCGAACUGUUCGACGACAGUGUGGAGCCGGCAUUAGUUCGAGACCAUUUCGAGACACACUGCCGGAUAGGAUUGACGAAUUGGGUUUUUGACCGGGUCAUAAAAUGGGUAAAACACGAUAAUUAAAUGUCGCUUUAUAACAUCGGUUAUUAAUUAUGCCAUUUACAAUUUAUGCGUUCUAAAAAGUAAAAUACCUUUUUGAGACCCUUUGAUGACAUUUAUUUUGA